AAUGGGCGAAAGCCUAAUGCAGCAACGCCGCGUGAGCGAUGAAGGCCUUCGGGUCGUAAAGCUCUGUCCUAUGGGAAGAUAAUGACGGUACCAUAGGAGGAAGCCCCGGCUAACUACGUGCCAGCAGCCGCGGUAAUACGUAGGGGGCAAGCGUUAUCCGGAAUUACUGGGCGUAAAGGGUGCGUAGGCGGUUUAUCAAGUCAGGGGUGAAAGGCUACGGCUCAACCGUAGUGAGCCUCUGAAACUAGAGAACUUGAGUGCAGGAGAGGAGAGUAGAAUUCCUAGUGUAGCGGUGAAAUGCGUAGAUAUUAGGAGGAAUACCAGUAGCGAAGGCGGCUCUCUGGACUGUAACUGACACUGAGGCACGAAAGCGUGGGGAGCAAA
rnacentral:rRNA from 1 species